rnacentral:lncRNA from 1 species
CGAUCUUGCUGUAAUAAUUUCAAUUAAUACGCUCGUAAAAUCCCAACGAUGAGGUACGUUUCGUAUAUGCAUUUGAGUAGUGAUUCCGUUUAAAUAUUAUUCGCUCAGUCGAUUAAUGAGCUUUCGGCCUUUGGUUAAGUUGAUCCCUUAUGUAUGAAUAUAAGGGUUGGAAAUGUGAAGUAGGACUGAUUUUUGAAAAUAUGUGUAUAUGAGAUUAUUCGUUUAGUUAUAUGAAUGCUAUACUUCAGUUGUGCCUAAUUUCAUUGCUCAAAACUUACUAAGCAUUAAAUGCUUACUCCGUUUCUUUGAUUCUCUGUUUUAUAGAUUUUGGUUCGUCAGCUAUCGGACUCGGGAUUGUCGAAGUCGAAGUCGUCCACACUAUCAAAGCCCUUUGGUACUCUUUUAUGUGAACUCUGAUAAUGGCAUGUAUAGGACUACCCUUUUUGUUGUUGGUCAUGUACCCUUUGGUUUUGUGUAAAUUUGGAUAGCCAUGCGAAAAUGGCUUAAAUAUACUUUGAUCAUAGCAUUAUAAUCGUUUUGUAUGUUGUUCAUUGAGAGGUAUGGAAAUUUUUGGUAACGAUUAGCCAUUGGAAUGGUUAAUCAUGAUCAUUUUGGUGCUAUGUAUGACAAACUCUAGUUGAUUCGCGGAAAACCAUGAAAUAGGUGAAGUUACCUUAAAAAUAGAUGCUGACAGCAGCAGUGGUAUGGAUUUGAAAAAUCACUAAAAAUAGUAGGAAUGGAAUUAAAUAGUGAAUAAAUUAUGUAAUCGAACCUUGAUGAAUCUAAUUUCAUAUGGAAGAAACGAAACGAUCAUAUGAGUCGUAUUUUAAGAUAUAUUUAAGUUGUCGUGGAAUAGGGCCAGAGCGAUUUCUAGAUCCCUUGAUCUGACUUUGGAAAUUCAUUAUAAAUUAACCAGAGAUAAUUAGAAGUCAUGCCUUAUAUGUACAGAUUCCUUUUUGAGCCUAGUUUCUUGAGAAACAAACGGCAUAAGUAUUGAAGCUCUUUACAAGGAGAUAUCUAAAUCGUAAUGCAUGAAGGUCAGAGUAGUCGAACCCUGAAUCAGGGGAGACUUUAACUAAUAAACUGUACUAAUUGGCCAGACCAAAAAUUCUAGAAAAAAAAUUGUAGAUGGAUAUAUGAGUCUAGUUUCAGGAAAAAUUUACGAAACUGGUUUUCAAGUUUUGGAACUCAAGAUAUGAUUUUUAAGGUGACAGUGACGCAGUUAGCCAGCUUGUCUGGAAAUUUUUAAAAUGGACUGAGAAAAUAAAUGAAUUAAGUUUGUUAGCACCUCGUGUUCGACUCCGGCAACGGUCUCGGGUACGGGGUGUUACAAUUUUAUUGGUAUCAGAGCUACGGUUUAGUCGAUUCUAGGACUACCGUAAUACAUUUGGGUCUAGCUAUACAUGCCAUUAUGUGAUUAUUUGAUAGUGUGGUGUUUUCUGACAAUUGAAAAUGUGUUUAUUUAUAGUAAUGGAUCCCGAUCCCAACCGAGCGGUAGCUGAUGAUCUUGAGAGUGUGGCACCCGCUCCCGCACAAGGGACAGCGCCAGCGGACUCUCAACCUAUUGCUAGUAAUCCGAAUGAUGAAGCUAGACAAGCUUUUUAUAGCGUGAUGAAUGAUUGGUUCAACCAAUACAUUCGAACUAAUACGGCUGUUCCACAACCUCCAUUCCCGACUAAUACCACCCCCGCACCUACAAUACCUCCGGCAACUGACCAAAUAAGGUCAAAUAAGCCCCCAGUUGACAGAAUCCGAAAAUACGGGGCUACUGAAUUUAAAGCUACGGACAGCGAUGAUGCCGAGCAAGCUGAAUUUUGGUUGGACAACACUAUUCAGGUACUCGAUGAGCUAUCUUGCACACCCGAUGAGUGCCUAAAGUGUACUAUCUCCUUGCUACGUGAUUCUGCCUUCUAUUGGUGGAAUACAUUAACUUCUGUUGUGUCCAGAGAGCAAGUAACUUGGGAGUUUUUCCAAACCGAGUUUCGAAAAAAGUAUAUCAGUCAGAGAUUCAUGGAUCAAAAACGGAAGGAAUUUCUUGAACUUAAAUAAGGUUCCAUGUCAGUUACCGACUAUGAACGAAAAUUUGUAAGGCUUAGCCGGUACGCUCGAGAAUGUAUUUCCUCAGAAGCCGUGAUGUGUAAACGUUUCGAGGAUGGGCUGAAUGAUGAUAUAAAGCUGUAUGUUGGCAUUUUGGAAAUCUGAGAAUUUGUGCUACUUGUCGAGCGAGCUUGCAAAGCCGAGGAGCUCAAUAUGGAGAAAAGAAAAGCUGAGGUGGGAGCAAAGGAGUUUCGUAAGGGGUCUUCGGGGAAGCCCUUGCAACAGUCGUCGAAGAAAUUUAGAGAUGACUUAGGCCGGUCUAGAGACACUUCGGGUUUUUCUAGACGAGAUCGCGAUCGACCCCCUGUGAGUGCACGAGUCACUUCGGUCGCCAGUUUUGGAUAUGAUCGUCGAGACAGAACGGAGUGUCAGUAUUGUGGUAAAUGGAAUUCGGGGAGUUGUAGAUUCCAUGACCACUCCUGUUACAAGUGCGGAUCAGCUGACCACUUUAUUAAAGAUUGCCUGAGAUUGUCUGAAUAGAACGUAAAUCAGAGUGGGAAACCUGGUGCUACCACUGCUCGGGGUAGACCAUCUAGAAAUACGGGCAAUGCUAGUGGCGGUCAGAGAGGAUCUAGAGAUGCUACAACCAGAUCUGAGGCUCGUGCUCCUGCUAGAGCUUAUGCUAUACGCGCACGCGAGGAUGCUUCCUCGCCAAAUGUUAUUACCGGUACUUUUACUCUCUUUGAUACUAAUGUGAAUGCUUUGAUUGACUCUGGUUCUACCCAUUCUUAUAUAUGUGAAACAUUAGCAUCCAGUAAGACUCUACCUGUUGAGUCUACUGAGUUUGUAAUUCGGGUGUCAAAUCCUUUGGGUCGUUACGUGCUUGUCGACAAAGUGUGUAAGAAAUGUCCCCUAGUAAUCCGAGGUUCCUGUUUUCCGGCCGAUUUGAUGCUUUUUCUGUUUGAUGAAUUUGAUGUUAUCCUCGGUUUAGAUUGGUUGACCGUGCAUGAUGCGGUUGUGAAUUGCAAAAGCAAGACUAUUGAUUUGAGGUGCGCAAAUAACGAGAUAAUCCGAGUUGAGUCUACGGACUUAAAGGGGUUGCCAGCUGUAAUGUCAUCAAUGUUGGCUCAGAAAUAUGUAAGAAAGGGGUGCGAAGCAUACCUUGCGUAUGUACUUGAUGACAAAGAGUUAGAAAAGAAACCCGAAUCUGUGCCGGUGGUUUGUGAAUACCCGGAUGUUUUUCCCGAAGAAUUACCGGGUUUACCACCUGUUCGGGAGGUAGAGUUUGGUAUUGAGCUUGUACCCGGGACUACGCCGAUUUUGAUAGCUCCGUAUCGUAUGGCACCAACCGAGUUAAAAGAGUUGAAAGCUCAGUUGCAAGAAUUGACGGAUAGAGGUUUCGCUCGACCAAGUUUCUCACCUUGGGGUGCACCAGUAUUGUUUGUGAAAAAGAAGGACGGAACCAUGAGGUUGUGCAUCGACUAUCGUCAGCUGAAUAAAGUGACAAUAAAGAAUAAAUAUCCGAUACCGCGCAUUGACGAUUUGUUUGAUCAACUAAAGGGAGCCUCAGUGUUUUCAAAGAUAGAUUUGAGGUCGGGUUAUUAUCAAUUGUGAAUUCGAGAUUCGGAUAUACCCAAAACAGCUUUCAGAAUGAGAUACGGUCACUACGAAUUCUUAGUGAUGCCGUUUGGGCUCACUAAUGCCCCCGCGGUAUUUAUGGAUUUGAUGAAUCGGAUCUUCAGACCGUAUUUGGAUCGGUUUGUAGUUGUGUUUAUCGAUGAUAUUUUGGUCUAUUCGAGAAAUGAAACCGAUCAUGCUGAACACCUGGGAUUAGUGUUGCAAAUUUUACGGGAUAAGCAGUUAUAUGCUAAGUUCAGUAAGUGUGAGUUCUGGUUAAGAGAGGUUAGCUUCUUGGGUCAUGUGGUAUCUGCAUCGGGUAUUCGAGUUGAUCCGAACAAAAUUUCAGCCAUACUGAACUAGAAGCCUCCGAGAAAUAUUACUGAGGUUCAGAGCUUUUUGGGACUUGCCGGUUACUACCAACGGUUUGUAAAAGGUUUCUCGAUGAUAGCCACACCAAUGACGAAACUACUUCAGAAAGAUGUUAAGUUUGAAUGGACGGAAAAGUGUUAGAAAAGUUUCGAUCAAUUGAAAACUCAUUUGAUGGAAGCUCCAGUACUAGUGCAGCCCGAAUCAGGCAAAGAGUUCGUCAUUUACAGUGAUGCAUCCUUACUUGGGUUGGGUUGUGUAUUAAUGCAAGAAGGUCGAGUUGUAGCUUAUGCGUCGAGGCAACUGAAGCCACAUGAAAAGAAUUAUCCAACCCAUGAUCUCGAACUGGCUGCCAUCGUAUUCACUUUGAAAAUAUGGCGACAUUACUUAUUUGGUGAGAAGUGCCAUGUAUAUUCGGAUCACAAAAGUCUCAAAUAUUUGAUGACUCAAAGAGACUUGAAUCUGCGACAAAGACGUUGGCUCGAGUUGUUGAAAGAUUAUGAGCUUGUCAUUGACUAUCACCUGGGAAAGGCUAAUGUGGUUGCGGAUGCCUUAAGUCGUAAAACACUGUUUGCUUUACGAGCGAUGAAUGUACACUUGUCUGUUCUAUCCGACAAUGUGUUAGUGGCAGAAUUAAAGGCCAAACCAUUGUUGAUUCAUCAAAUUCGUGAAGCUCAGAAAGCCGAUGAUGAACUGGUUGCAAAACGGGCUGAAUGUGUUCCAAAUAUGGAAUCAGAGUUUCAAAUUGAUGAUGACGAUUGUUUGAGGUUCAGAAGUCGUUUGUGUGUUCCAAGAAAUUCAGAACUCAUUUUGAUGAUUCUGAACGAAGCUCAUUGUAGCCGAAUGUCAAUUCACACGGGGAGUACGAAAAUGUACAACAAUCUGAGACGUCAGUUUUGGUGGCAUGGUAUGAAACAAGACAUUUCCGAUUUUGUUUCGAAGUGUUUAAUAUGUCAGCAAGUGAAGGCGGAACAUCAAGUGCCUACGGUUUUACUUCAGCCGAUCAUGAUACCUGAAUGGAAAUGGGAUCGAGUCACGACGGAUUUUGUAUUUGGGUUGCCAGUAUCGGCAAGUAAGAAAGAUGCGAUUUGGGUUGUUGUUGAUAGACUGACUAAGUCGGCUCACUUUAUCCCCGUACGUACGGAUUUUUCAUUGGAUAAAUUAGCUGAAUUGUAUGUUUCUCAGAUUGUGAGAUUACAAGGGGUACCUAUUUCUAUUGUGUCGGAUAGAGAUCCGAGAUUCACCUCACGAUUUUGGAAGAAAUUACAAGAAGCUUUGGGUACCAAGGUGUAUUUUAGCACCGCCUUUCACCCCCAAACCGAUGGUCAAUCCGAGCGGAUAAUUCAGAUACUUGAGGAUAUGUUGAGAUGUUGCAUCCUCGAGUUUAGUGGUUCAUGGGAGCGGUAUUUACCUUUGAUUGAAUUCGCUUACAACAAUAGUUUUCAAUCAAGUAUUAAGAUGGCACCUUACGAGGCUUUGCAUGGUCGUAAAUGCCGUACAACAAUAGUUUUAAAUCAAGUAUUAAGAAUGUUACCCAAACCUAUUUACCGGUAAGAUUUUUGGGGACGAAAAUUUCUUAAGUGGGGGAGAGUUGUGACAGCCCUAAAGUGACCCUAGUCGAAAAGCGAUUUCGGGACCGCUAAACCGAGUCACCAAAUUAUUUAAAUAUGAUAUUAAUUGUCUAAAAUAUGUGAAUAUGAAUGUGUGAAAGUUUAAAGCUUCGAUUUAGUUAAUUGCAUGUGAAUUUAGUUAAUAGGAAUUAUGUGUGACACUUUUGAAAUGUGAUAGGUUAAUCUAUAAGGAUCUAUUAGUGCAUGUAAUCAAAAGGGUGGACUUGCAUGUCAAUUUCGCCCUCCUAAUUAGUAGUGGCCGGCCAUGAGCAUGAGGGUGGACAAAAUGUUAUGGCUAAAACAUGUCAUAAACAUGUUGGGUUAAUGCUUUAUGUUAGGAAUAAUAAAAUAAAGAACAUGGGAAAUAAAAUAUUAGUGUUAGUAGGAGGAGAAACAAAAAAAAAUGUGUGUGGUUGUUCCCCCAUUGUGCCGUAGCUAGAAGAAAAAAAAAAGAAAAAGAAAGGCUUCAUCCUCUUUGUUCUUCUUGAUCGAAAAAUCAAAGGAAGAAGAAAGGAGUUUUCUUGCUUCAUGUUCGGUUGGUUGGUGUUUAGGAGGAGGUAUGUUUGAUGUUGUUCCAUGAGAUUCAUGCAUGUUUUUAGUUGUUAGCUUGAGUUCUACCUAGCCCAUGGUUUAAAUCUUUGCUAUGUGAUGAAGAUGAACUAAGUUUCGGCUAAGGUGGAUUUGUGUUGAUGUCAUUUGCAUGCUAAAUGUGAAGCUUUGUAAUGAUACAUGUGAUGGUGGAUUUAUGACUCUUGGAUUUUCUUUUUAGCAUUUUUUUUGAGUUAGACAUUAAGUUCUUUGUUUAAACCAUGACCAAAAUUGAAAUGGUAUGGUGUCUUGAUGCAUUCGGCCAUGGUAGGAAGUAGAAGAGAAAAAUGGUUGUUGCUCAUGUUAUUUGGAUGAGAAAUGGUAGUAAGGUGAAGUGCAAAUGUUAGUAUUUGAUUACUAAUGCAUAUAUGUGUAUUAGCCGAGUUUUGAAUUUGAAACAAAAUGGUAUGUAGUCAAUACAAGUAACCAUAUUUGUAGGAAGUAUUAAGCAUAUAUUGGCCUCAACAUAGACAUGCAUAUUCGGCCACAUGAGAUAGAUUGGUGUUGCAUGUAUUCAGUUAGGGGCAAGCAUAUUGAUGCUUUUAUCUUGACUUAGAUAAUCGGCUCAAGGAGAAUUUGUUAAGUGCUUAGUUAAUUGAUAUUAGGUUAAUGAUGUGUGUAUUCGGUCAUAAAGGUGCACAUGAGGAAAUGUUUGAUUAAUUGUAUUAAAUUGCUCAAUGUGAUUAAAAAUGCCUAUGAUCAUUUUGUAUUUGAGCUAAAGGUGGCCAUAUGACCUAUCAAACCCCUUGUCAUAUUCGACCAUAAGCAAGCAUAAUGAGACUUUAAUAAGUUAAAUUUGUUUGAAUUAGCUCAAGAGCUUAGAGGACCACAGUUGGAUAAGGGAAAGGAAAAAGUGAUCGAAUAGCCGCCGAAAUCGUUCGACCACAUCCGAGGUAAGUCUUUGAGUAAUGGAGCUUAGAUUAUGAUUCGAUUAGAUCAUGUUUUAAGUAAAUCAAAAUCAUGCUCUUGUAUGAAGCUAUUGAGCCGAAAAUGAUAAUGCUUGAUAAGUGACUUGUGUUUGAAUUCUAGUUAUGAAAUUGAAAUAUAGAUGUGUCAUGAUCUAUUGAUAUGUGCAUGGAUAUUCGGAUGAUAACCGGGCUAAGUCCCAAAGGCAUUUGUGCUAGUGACUAAUUCCGGGCUAAGCCCGAAGGCAAUUGUGCGAGUUACUAUAUCCGGGCUAAGUCCCGAAGGCAUUUGUGCGAGUUACUAUAACCGGGUUAAGUCCCGAAGGCAUUUGUGCGAGUUAUUAUAACCGGGCUAAGUCCCGAAGGCAUUUGAGUGAGUAGUUAUAUCCGGCUAAAUCCCAAAGGUACUUGGUUGGGAAUGAGCGAUCUUGCUGUAAUAAUUUCAAUUAAUACGCUCGUAAAAUCCCAACGAUGAGGUACGUUUCGUAUAUGCAUUUGAGUAGUGAUUCCGUUUAAAUAUUAUUCGCUCAGUCGAUUAAUGAGCUUUCGGCCUUUGGUUAAGUUGAUCCCUUAUGUAUGAAUAUAAGGGUUGGAAAUGUGAAGUAGGACUGAUUUUUGAAAAUAUGUGUAUAUGAGAUUAUUCGUUUAGUUAUAUGAAUGCUAUACUUCAGUUGUGCCUAAUUUCAUUGCUCAAAACUUACUAAGCAUUAAAUGCUUACUCCGUUUCUUUGAUUCUCUGUUUUAUAGAUUUUGGUUCGUCAGCUAUCGGA